GGCGUGCUUAACACAUGCAAGUCGAACGGACGAUCCCUUCGGGGUGAGUUAGUGGCGAACGGGUGAGUAACACGUGAGGAACCUACCCCGGACUCUGGGAUAACUCUCCGAAAGGAGGGCUAAUACCGGAUACCUCCACACCUCGGCAUCGAGGAGUGAAGAAAGAACUUUGGUCUGGGAGGGUCUCGCGGCCUAUCAGCUUGUUGGUGGGGUAACGGCCUACCAAGGCAUCGACGGGUAGCUGGUCUGAGAGGAUGAUCAGCCACACUGGGACGAGACACGGCCCAGACUCCUACGGGAGGCAGCAGUGGGGAAUCUUGCGCAAUGGGCGAAAGCCUGACGCAGCAACGCCGCGUGCGGGAUGAAGGCCUUCGGGUUGUAAACCGCUUUCGACCGGAACGAAAUCAGACGGUACCGGUGGAAGAAGGUCCGGCCAACUACGUGCCAGCAGCCGCGGUAACACGUAGGGACCGAGCGUUGUCCGGAUUUAUUGGGCGUAAAGAGCUCGUAGGUGUUUGGUAAGUCGGGUGUGAAAACUCCAGGCUCAACUUGGAGACGCCACCCGAUACUGUCAUGACUUGAGUCUGGUAGGGGAGUGGGGAAUUCCUGGUGUAGCGGUGAAAUGCGCAGAUAUCAGGAGGAACACCGGUGGCGAAGGCGCCACUCUGGGCCAGUACUGACGCUGAGGAGCGAAAGCGUGGGUAGCAAACAGGAUUAGAUACCCUGGUAGUCCACGCCGUAAACGUUGGGCACUAGGUGUGGGUCUCAACCAACGGGAUCCGUGCCGCAGCUAACGCAUUAAGUGCCCCGCCUGGGGAGUACGGUCGCAAGACUAAAACUCAAAGGAAUUGACGGGGGCCCGCACAAGCAGCGGAGCAUGUUGCUUAAUUCGAGGCAACGCGAAGAACCUUACCUGGGUUUGACAUGGUGGGAAAAGCCGCAGAGAUGCGGUGUCCUUCGGGGCCCAUCACAGGUGGUGCAUGGCUGUCGUCAGCUCGUGUCGUGAGAUGUUGGGUUAAGUCCCGCAACGAGCGCAACCCUUGUCCUAUGUUGCCAGCGGGUAAUGCCGGGGACUCGUAGGAGACUGCCGGGGUCAACUCGGAGGAAGGUGGGGACGACGUCAAGUCAUCAUGCCCCUUAUGUCCAGGGCUGCAAACAUGCUACAAUGGCCGAUACAAAGGGCUGCAAGCCUGCGAGGGUGAGCGAAUCCCAAAAAGUCGGUCUCAGUUCGGAUCGGAGUCUGCAACUCGACUCCGUGAAGCUGGAGUUGCUAGUAAUCCCGGAUCAGCAUCGCCGGGGUGAAUACGUUCCCGGGCCUUGUACACACCGCCCGUCACACCACGAAAGUCGGCAACACCCGAAGCCGGUGGCCUAACCGCAAGGAAGGAGCCGUCGAAGGUGGGGUCGGUGAUUGGGGUGAAGUCGUAACAAGGUA
rnacentral:rRNA from 1 species